rnacentral:rRNA from 1 species
GACGAACGCUGGCGGCGUGCUUAACACAUGCAAGUCGAACGCUGAAGCUUGGUGCUUGCACUGGGUGGAUGAGUGGCGAACGGGUGAGUAAUACGUGAGUAACCUGCCCUUGAUUCUGGGAUAAGCCUGGGAAACUGGGUCUAAUACUGGAUACGACAUGUCACCGCAUGGUGGUGUGUGGAAAGGGUUUUACUGGUUUUGGAUGGGCUCACGGCCUAUCAGCUUGUUGGUGGGGUAAUGGCUCACCAAGGCGACGACGGGUAGCCGGCCUGAGAGGGUGACCGGCCACACUGGGACUGAGACACGGCCCAGACUCCUACGGGAGGCAGCAGUGGGGAAUAUUGCACAAUGGGCGGAAGCCUGAUGCAGCGACGCCGCGUGAGGGAUGACGGCCUUCGGGUUGUAAACCUCUUUCAGCACGGAAGAAGCGAAAGUGACGGUACGUGCAGAAGAAGCGCCGGCUAACUACGUG